rnacentral:tRNA from 1 species
GCAUUGGUGGUUCAGUGGUAGAAUUUCUCGCCUGCCACGCGCGGGAGGCCCGGGUUCGAUUCCCGGCCAAUGCA